CCUACGGGAGGCAGCAGUGGGGAAUUUUGGACAAUGGGCGCAAGCCUGAUCCAGCAAUGCCGCGUGAGUGAAGAAGGCCUUCGGGUUGUAAAGCUCUUUUGUCAGGGAAGAAACGGUCUACUCUAAUACAGUGGGCUAAUGACGGUACCUGAAGAAUAAGCACCGGCUAACUACGUGCCAGCAGCCGCGGUAAUACGUAGGGUGCAAGCGUUAAUCGGAAUUACUGGGCGUAAAGCGUGCGCAGGCGGUUAUAUAAGUCAGAUGUGAAAUCCCCGGGCUCAACCUGGGAACUGCAUUUGAGACUGUAUGGCUAGAGUGUGUCAGAGGGGGGUAGAAUUCCACGUGUAGCAGUGAAAUGCGUAGAUAUGUGGAGGAAUACCGAUGGCGAAGGCAGCCCCCUGGGAUAACACUGACGCUCAUGCACGAAAGCGUGGGGAGCAAACAGGAUUAGAUACCCUGGUAGUCCACGCCCUAAACGAUGUCUACUAGUUGUCGGGACUUAAUUGUCUUGGUAAACGCAGCUACGCGUGAGUAGACCGCCGUCGGGAGGUACGGUCGCGAGAGUUAAACGUAACGAAAGUAGAAGUUAGUACGGCGUAGAGACGUACGACCGAACGGACGACGACGAGGGGAGGAGGGNG
rnacentral:rRNA from 1 species